UCCUACGGGAGGCAGCAGUGGGGAAUAUUGCACAAUGGGGGAAACCCUGAUGCAGCAACGCCGCGUGAAGGAAGACGGUUUUCGGAUUGUAAACUUCUAUCAAUAGGGACGAAAAAAUGACGGUACCUAAAUAAGAAGCCCCGGCUAACUACGUGCCAGCAGCCGCGGUAA
rnacentral:rRNA from 1 species